rnacentral:rRNA from 1 species
AGUGAACGCUGGCGGCAGGCCUAACACAUGCAAGUCGAACGGCAGCACAGUAAGAGCUUGCUCUUACGGGUGGCGACUGGCGGACGGGUGAGGAGUACAUCGGAAUCUACUUUUUCGUGGGUGAUAACGUAGGGAAAGUUACGCUAACACCGCAUACGUCCUACGGCUGAAAGCAGGGGAUCUUCGGACCUUGCGCGUUUGUAUGAGCCGAUGUCGGAUUAGCUAGUUGGCGGGGUAAAGGCCCACCAAGCCAACGAUCCGUAGCUGGUCUGAGAGGAUGAUCGGCCACACUGGAACUGAGACACGGUCCAGACUCCUACGGGAGGCAGCAGUAGGGAAUAUUGGACAAAGGGCGCAAGCCUGAUCCAGCAACACCGCGUGGGUGAUGAAGGCCUUCGGGUUGUAAAGCCCUUUUGUUGGGGAAGAAAAGCAGCAGAUUAAUACACCGCUGUUCUGACGGUACCCAAAGAAUAAGCACCGGCUAACUUCGUG